rnacentral:rRNA from 1 species
GUCUAAACGACUCUCGGCAACGGAUAUCUCGGCUCUCGCAUCGAUGAAGAACGUAGCGAAAUGCGAUACUUGGUGUGAAUUGCAGAAUCCCGUGAACCAUCGAGUCUUUGAACGCAAGUUGCGCCCGAAGCCUUCUGGCCGAGGGCACGCCUGCUUGGGCGUCAC